ACUGAACGCUGGCGGCAGGCUUAACACAUGCAAGUCGAGCGGUAACAGAGAGAAGCUUGCUUCUCUGCUGACGAGCGGCGGACGGGUGAGUAAUGCCUAGGAAUCUGCCUAGUAGUGGGGGAUAACUUGCCGAAAGGUAAGCUAAUACCGCAUACGUCCUACGGGAGAAAGGAGGGGACCUUCGGGCCUUUCGCUAUUAGAUGAGCCUAGGUCGGAUGAGUUAGUUUGUGAGGUAAUGGCUCACCAAGACCGCGAUCCGUAACUGGGCUGAGAGGAUGAUCAGUCACACUGGAACUGAGACACGGUCCAGACUUCUACGGGAGGCAGCAGUGGGGAAUAUUGGACAAUGGGGGGAACCCUGAUCCAGCCAUGCCGCGUGUGUGAAGAAGGUCUUAGGAUUGUAAAGCACUUUAAGUUGGGGGGAAGAGCAGUUAACUAAUAUUUGACUGUUUUGACGUUACCGACAGAAUAAGCACCGGCUAACUUCGUGCCAGCCGCCGCAGUAA
rnacentral:rRNA from 1 species